GACGAACGCUGGCGGCGUGCUUAACACAUGCAAGUCGAACGGAAAGGCCCUGCUUUUGGGGGGUGCUCGAGUGGCGAACGGGUGAGUAACACGUGAGUAACCUGCCCUUGACUUUGGGAUAACUUCAGGAAACUGGGGCUAAUACCGGAUAGGAUCUCCUGCUGCAUGGUGGGGGUUGGAAAGUUUCGGCGGUUGGGGAUGGACUCGCGGCUUAUCAGCUUGUUGGUGGGGUAGUGCCUUACCAAGGCUUGGACGGGUAGCCGGCCUGGGCGGGGGACCGGCCACAUUGGGCCUGGGAUACGGCCCAGACUCCUACGGGAGGCAGCGGUGGGGAAUAUUGCACAAUGGGCGGAGGCCUGAUGCAGCAACGCCGCGUGCGGGAUGACGGCCUUCGGGUUGUAAACCGCUUUCGCCUGUGACGAGGCGUGAGUGACGGUACUGGGUGAAGAAGCACCGGCUAACUACGUG
rnacentral:rRNA from 1 species